UACAGAGGUGGCAAGCGUUGUUCGGAAUUACUGGGCGUAAAGGGCGCGUAGGCGGUCCCAUAAGUCCCGCGUGAAAUCCCCCGGCUCAACUGGGGAACGGCGCGGGAGACUGCGGGGCUUGAGUUCGGGAGAGGGAAGCGGAAUUCCGGGUGUAGCGGUGAAAUGCGUAGAUAUCCGGAGGAACACCGGUGGCGAAGGCGGCUUCCUGGACCGACACUGACGCUGAGGCGCGAAAGCCAGGGGAGCAAACGGG
rnacentral:rRNA from 1 species